CGUUCUUCCUCAUCCGGCCACCGAUUGAUGUGAAACAAAGUGGGUUUUUCUGGUCUCGACCCCCUUUACGAGUUUGUAGAAGAAAUCGAAGUGAAAUACGAGCUGUAUGAGGCUCUACAAGGUCGAGAAGAGAGCCUCGUCGGAGACGAAAUCGCUCUUCCCCACUUUUUCUGGGCUCUACUUUGUCUAGCCAUAUCUUCCUCUACAGGCCUCCGAUCGACCUGAUUCCAAAAGCAAUUUUUCUCACCGUGAAGUUUUCUACAACUUUCCAGAAGACAUCGACUUGAGAUAACCAUCGUGGUGGCCGCUAGAAGACCGAGAAGCCGCACAGCCGAGCUGGAAAUCGUCUUCCUUCGCCACCUUGGUUCUCCCAGCUCCGGCCACUAUAGCUCGAGUUCUUUGAGGGCUUUUCUAGCCCAGAGGAAGUAGAAGCUAUCCCCAAGAAGGCUUGCAGCGAUUUGAUCCGGGGUGAUCGAAUUUUGAAGAUUGGGAAACUAGGGUUCUUCGGGUUUCAAAACUUGCGAGGUGAUUGACGGUCUCCCUUGGGUGAACGAUUUCGGUGUGUAUUGUGUUGAAUUGAAGACGCAGCGGGAAUAUCGAGCGGGUAAUCCUGCAGGUCAGGAGAAUCAGGGCGGUGAUCGAGCGGGUUAGAGUAUUUGUUAUAGUUUUACAGCAUUUGUAAUAGUGAGGUGAGUUAAGCUCAUUGAGCCUUACAAUUUGAUUUGGUGAGAGUGUGUUGUAAUAAUUAACUUGAGGAUUUGAUUUAUUGUAAUAUUGAGAGGUGUGAAGUGUGGUUGUUUGUGAGAAAAAAAUUCAGGACGUUUAUUCUA